CCGGUCGAUGGGAAGCUGAUAGCAACAGGGACAACGAACAGCAUUGUCAAAAGCAGAGAGAUGGGGAGUGGUGGGAGACCACGGCGGCAUGACACCGAUAGAUGGAUCCCGCUGAGAAAAUUAAUAAAGGAGCGAGCUUCUUUUAAUCCCCUUCCUUCCUUGACUGGUGGUGUGAGAGAGUGGUGACCAGUGACCACCACCUAACCUUCUCCUGCUCUCGCCUCUCGGCGUUAUAAAAGCGACUGGCGACCAAAGAGAGGUGAGUACUCUGUUCGUUCCAUGGCGCGCGCCCACGAAGAAGCAGAAGCUCCUCUGUUCAUCGCCGGCUUCUGGACGUCGGCCGGGCUUGGAUUUUGGGAGCUAGGCUGAUGCUGGCGUGGGCCAAGUACUCCUGCUUCGUGGAUCUCCGUAGUCUGUCCCCUGAUGAUGAUGAGGGAGGCAUGAUUGAUGGCUUUGAUUUGAUUGAGAUGCAUGUGUAAUCGGCGCCGGUCGGUUCGGCGGCACGGGAUUGGUUCGUCCCGCUGAAGAGCUGCGGAACAACAGAAGGCACACAGCCCGAGGUCGACCGGCGGAUCGUAUAUAUGCUUCUACAGAGCCCAUCGUGUGUGUGGUUCCAUCCAUGUCAUGCUUUUGCUCGGCGGAAUCCUCUCCCUCCCUGUGGAUUUCCAUCAAGGACGGCCGACGGGAAAGAAACUUCAAUGCUGAUUCGCCCCGGUACACUGGCGGAGCUACCGCCCGGCCACGCCGGGCUGCCCGGGCUCGACGAAAAAUUUACACAUAAUUAGUGUAGUUAUCUGAAGGCUUAAUGGAUGUUUUUUUAAGCCAAAUGCUGAUUUAUGAAGGAUUUGCCCAGGCUUCAGAAGCAGCCUGGCUCCGCCGGAGCCCCCUGUACAUACAUUGCUCGAGUUUUUGAUCUUGUUUGUUCAGUUUGGGCUUCGACUUGUCUGGUUGGGGAUAAUUUGAGUAAUUUUCUCCGCCAACCCUCAUUUCCUCUUCUUUUUUCUUUCAUUUUUGUGCGAGGUGUUUGUUCACUUGGAAUUGAAGUUUGAAUGAUUCCAUCUCCAUUUA